rnacentral:rRNA from 1 species
GACGUAGGGAGCGAGCGUUGUCCGGAUUCAUUGGGCGUAAAGAGCGCGUAGGCGGCCGUGCAAGUCGGUUGUGAAAUCCCGGGGCUCAACCCCGGGACUGCGUCCGAUACUGCACGGCUCGAGGCAGGUAGGGGAGAGUGGAAUUCCCGGUGUAGCGGUGAAAUGCGCAGAUAUCGGGAGGAACACCGGUGGCGAAGGCGGCUCUCUGGGACGGUACUGACGCUGAGACGCGAAAGCGUGGGGAGCGAACAGG